GCAGGUGUAGUUUAACAAAAACAUCAGCCCGUGAAGCUGAAAACAGAUACCGCAUCUCACCUACC
rnacentral:tRNA from 1 species